AGUCACGCUGGCGGCGUGCUUAACACAUGCAAGUCGAACGGAAAGGCCCUUUUCGGGGGUACUCGAGUGGCGAACGGGUGAGUAACACGUGGGUGAUCUGCCCUGCACUUUGGGAUAAGCCUGGGAAACUGGGUCUAAUACCGGAUAGGACUACGCGAUGCAUGUCGUGUGGUGGAAAGCUUUUGCGGUGUGGGAUGGGCCCGCGGCCUAUCAGCUUGUUGGUGGGGUGAUGGCCCCUACCAAGGCGACGACGGGUAGCCGGCCUGAGAGGGUGACCGGCCACACUGGGACUGAGAUACGGCCCCAGACUCCUACGGGAGGCAGCAGUGGGGAAUAUUGCACCAAUGGGCGCAAGCCUGAUGCAGCGACGCCGCGUGAGGGAUGACGGCCUUCGGGUUGUAAACCUCUUUCAGCUCCGACGAAGCGCAAGUGGCGGUAGGAGUAGAAGAAGGACCGGCCAACUACGUGCCAGCAGCCGCGGUAAUACGUAGGGUCCGAGCGUUGUCCGGAAUUACUGGGCGUAAAGAGCUCGUAGGUGGUUUGUCGCGUUGUUCGUGAAAACUCACAGCUCAACUGUGGGCGUGCGGGCGAUUCGGGCAGACUUGAGUACUGCAGGGGAGACUGGAAUUCCUGGUGUAGCGGUGGAAUGCGCAGAUAUCAGGAGGAACACCGGUGGCGAAGGCGGGUCUCUGGGCAGUAACUGACGCUGAGGAGCGAAAGCGUGGGGAGCGAACAGGAUUAGAUACCCUGGUAGUCCACGCCGUAAACGGUGGGUACUAGGGUGUGGGUUUCCUUCCUUGGGAUCCGUGCCGUAGCUAACGCAUUAAGUACCCCGCCUGGGGAGUACGGCCGCAAGGCUAAAACUCAAAGAAAUUGACGGGGGCCCGCACAAGCGGCGGAGCAUGUGGAUUAAUUCGAUGCAACGCGAAGAACCUUACCUGGGUUUGACAUGCACAGGACGCCGGCAGAGAUGUCGGUUCCCUUGUGGCCUGUGUGCAGGUGGUGCAUGGCUGUCGUCAGCUCGUGUCGUGAGAUGUUGGGUUAAGUCCCGCAACGAGCGCAACCCUUGUCUCAUGUUGCCAGCGGGUAAUGCCGGGGAAUCGUGAGAGACUGCCGGGGUCAACUCGGAGGAAAGGUGGGGAUGACGUGCAAGUCAUCAUGCCCCUUAUGUCCAGGGCUUCACACAUGCUACAAUGGCCCGGUACAAAGGGCUGCGAUGCCGUGAGGUGGAGCGAAUCCUUUCAAAGCCGGUCUCAGUUCGGAUCGGGGUCUGCAACUCGACCCCGUGAAGUCGGAGUCGCUAGUAAUCGCAGAUCAGCAACGCUGCGGUGAAUACGUUCCCGGGCCUUGUACACACCGCCCGUCACGUCAUGAAAGUCGGUAACACCCGAAGCCGGUGGCCUAACCCCUUGUGGGAGGGAGCCGUCGAAGGUGGGAUCG
rnacentral:rRNA from 1 species